GAGUUUGAUCAUGGCUCAGAUUGAACGCUGGCGGCAUGCCUUACACAUGCAAGUCGAACGGCAGCAUGAUCUAGCUUGCUAGAUUGAUGGCGAGUGGCGAACGGGUGAGUAAUACAUCGGAACGUGCCCUGUAGUGGGGGAUAACUAGUCGAAAGAUUAGCUAAUGCCGCAUACGACCUGAGGGUUGAAAGUGGGGGACCGCAAGGCCUCAUGCUAUAGGAGCGGCCGAUGUCUGAUUAGCUAGUUGGUGGGGUAAAGGCCCACCAAGGCGACGAUCAGUAGCUGGUCUGAGAGGACGAUCAGCCACACUGGGACUGGAGACACGGCCCAGACUCCUACGGGAGGCAGCGAGUGGGGAAUUUUGGAC
rnacentral:rRNA from 1 species